rnacentral:lncRNA from 1 species
AUUUUUUUUAUUAUUAUUUUAGUUUUUUUUUACUUACCCGCUCAGCCCGGUGCUAUGGAGUCUAGAAGAAAAAGCUGGGUGGUGUUUUUGGAGUUGUUAUUAUAAAAAUAACAGUUUUUUUGUUGUUGUUUUGGUUGUUUAGUUGGGGAAAAAAAUCUGGGGUUAUGUUCUUUUGUUACCUUUUUGUAAGUUACACUCAUGGUAUUUCUGCUCCUUCCACGACUGCAAACUUUCCAGGGUUGGGCCGGCAAAAGGCGGCUUCGCUGUGGACUGUUUACUGCUCUGGAUUUAGCAAUGGUGUGAUCGUCAUUAAGAAACAAAAGGCGAAAACACGGUCAAAUCAAACAAAAGGCAAAAUAGUUCACCAGCCAUCCCCACCAUAAGAAACACCACCGAGUUAACAAAAAUGGCUCCCCUCAUCUGUUGGCCUCUCCUUGGAGUCUGAUGAAGGAUGUUUUGAGAUCAGCGUCUAAUAACUCAAGCCCUAUAGAAGCCGCGUGCUGAUUGGCUGCCGCGCCCUGCCGCCCUGCUCCAGCCAAUUACCUACCCACGGCCAAAUUACAAACCCCGAAAAGAGCCCCAAUAUGAAAUACACCACCACGAAGCCCCAAAGAGGCGGCUGCUUCGCCUCGGCAGCCCGAGAAGAGAGGCCGAGGGGUCUGCAAACAUAUCCACGCGAAGCCGGGGAAGCUUCUGAGUUGAACUCACAAAAUGGAAGCCGAGCGCUGAUUGGCCGCCGCCACUCCCGGACCUUUAAUAAAGAAAGGGGAAGGAAAAUGAUAAAUGCAAAAAAGGGGACUCUCUGUCGCUGGUGGCUGGAGGAAGGAGGGAGGAAGAAGCAUGUGUUCAGGACAAUUACUGGGCGCUCCCCUCCAAAAAUAAAAACAGAAAGAAAAAAAAAAAGAGCUAUCUUCCAUGUCCAGGCGAGGGCUGUAUCCUCCCAAGAAUGUGAAGGCUAACGUGGUUCCAAAUCUUGGUUUCUCCUCCCCAGUACAGCUCCAGGGAGGGAGGGGGUGUGCGGGCCGAAGAGGAAGCGGGAUCGGAGAUACCUCGAUUGCAACUCGUUUGGGGUCGACGUCUGCCGGCCCCAGGCUCCUAGUAUUCAAACACACAAUCGCCCCCUCCAAACCCAGCCCUUUCGCCGAGUCUCCACGCGCCCACCUCCGGUCUGGGCAGUUUGGAAACAGUUUGGGAGGCCCCGGG